rnacentral:rRNA from 1 species
UACAGAGGUCCCAAGCGUUGUUCGGAUUUACUGGGCGUAAAGGGUGCGUAGGCGGCGCGGAAAGUUCGGGGUGAAAUCUCCAGGCUCAACCUGGAAACUGCCCUGAAUACUUCCGUGCUUGAGGGUCGCAGAGGAGAUUGGAAUUCUCGGUGUAGCAGUGAAAUGCGUAGAUAUCGAGAGGAACAUCAGUGGCGAAAGCGAAUCUCUGGGCGGCAUCUGACGCUGAGGCACGAAAGCCAGGGGAGCAAAUGGG